CGAGCUUUCAAACGGUUGAGAUCCGGUGCCCAAGACAGGAGAAAAGUGAACCGUAUUGCUGGGGACUCCAAUGCUCAUCGGAUUAAGGAUAUUCUUCCUGAUGAUAUAGCUGUCAAAUGCCUGCCAAUCUCUGAUGAGAAUAUGUAAUGACAAUGGUAUAGAACAGUAAUUACAGUUUCAGACAUUCGCCAACUCUGUUUUCAAAGGUGCCAAAUUUUCUUGUGAUCGUUUUCGCCAUGCAUUGUUGAGAGACUUGCGGAAGAUGGAUGUUCAACAGCUGUAUCUUCAUCUAGGCUCAAAUGACAUUCUUACGAAUGAAGCGGUGUUUUACUGGAGGCGCACAAUCGGUGUCCAGAAUGCAGGGUUGUUUGCUCCAACGAAGACGCUUUGCUGAGCCACUUCUGCAGUCGCCACAUCAAGCAACCAGAGACUGGAAAAGAGAGUAAAAUUAAGCUGAUAGGCUCACCAAUGGUAUGACUUUAAAUCACUAACUUGUGUAUGCUUGACAAGCAUUUUAUGUACAAAUAAAGUAACAAAAAAAGGAGGUCAACACAUGCACUUUCCCAUAUAAAGCUUUCUGUAUCUUUUAGCAACUAAUUACACGAUUUUGUGUUGACAUACUCAAUAUGAUAGUUAUAGCCCUAUAUAACUGGUAUGUUCAUUUUAGUUAAUCUUUCUAUUUUAUUAAACCUGUUUGUUUUAGCUAGAUUGCUUGAAAAACACAACCAGGAUUAUUUUUAUGCCCCCGGAUCGAAAGAUCGGGGGUAUAUUGUUUUUGGCCUGUCUGUCAUUGUAUGUGUCCAUGUGUGUGUGUGUGUGUGUGUCCCAAAACU